GGCGGCAGGCCUAAUACAUGCAAGUCGGACGGGAUUGAGGAGCUUGCUUUUCAUGAGAGUGGCGCACGGGUGCGUAACACGUAUGUAACCUACCUUGUUCAGGGGGAUAGCCUCUCGAAAGAGAGAUUAAGACCGCAUAAAAUCACAUUACAGCAUUGUAAAAUGAUCAAAUAUUUAUAGGAACAAGAUGGGCAUGCGGAACAUUAGCUAGUUGGUAAGGUAACGGCUUACCAAGGCUACGAUGUUUAGGGGAUCUGAGAGGAUGACCCCCCACACUGGUACUGAGACACGGACCAGACUCCUACGGGAGGCAGCAGUAAGGAAUAUUGGUCAAUGGGCGGAAGCCUGAACCAGCCAUGCCGCGUGCAGGAAGACGGCCCUAUGGGUUGUAAACUGCUUUUACAGGGGAAUAAACCUCGUUACGUGUAACGAGCUGAAUGUACUCUGAGAAUAAGGAUCGGCUAACUCCGUGCCAGCAGCCGCGGUAAUACGGAGGAUCCAAGCGUUAUCCGGAUUUAUUGGGUUUAAAGGGUGCGUAGGUGGCCUGUUAAGUCAGGGGUGAAAGACGGUAGCUCAACUAUCGCAGUGCCCUUGAUACUGACGGGCUUGAAUAAACUAGAGGUAGGCGGAAUGUGACAAGUAGCGGUGAAAUGCAUAGAUAUGUCACAGAACACCAAUUGCGAAGGCAGCUUACUAUGGUUUUAUUGACACUGAGGCACGAAAGCGUGGGGAUCAAACAGGAUUAGAUACCCUGGUAGUCCACGCCCUAAACGAUGAAUACUCGAUGUUGGCGAUAUACGGUCAGCGUCUAAGCGAAAGCGUUAAGUAUUCCACCUGGGGAGUACGCCCGCAAGGGUG
rnacentral:rRNA from 1 species